rnacentral:rRNA from 1 species
UACAGAGGGUGCAAGCGUUGUUCGGAAUUAUUGGGCGGAAAGCGCGUGUAGGCGGCUUAGCAAGUCGGGCGUGAAAGCCCUCGGCUCAACCGAGGAAGUGCACCCGAAACUGCUGAGCUUGAGUGCCGGAGAGGAUGGCGGAAUUCCCCAAGUAGAGGUGAAAUGCGUAGAUAUUGGGAGGAACACCAGUGGCGAAGGCGGCUCACUGGACCGGUACUGACGCUGAUGCGCGAAAGCGUGGGGAGCAAACGGG